UAGCCGUAAACGAUACUCGCUAGGUGUCGGCCACGGUGCGACCGUUGUCGGUGCCGUAGGGAGGCCGUGAAGCGAGCCACCUGGGAAGUACGGCCGCAAGGCUGAAACUUAAAGGAAUUGGCGGGGGAGCACCACAACGGGUGGAGCUUGCGGUUUAAUUGGAUUCAACGCCGGAAAUCUUACCGGGACCGACAGCAACAUGAAGGCCAGGCUGAAGACUUUGCCGGAUUAGCUGAGAGGAGGUGCAUGGCGUAGUCGUGU
rnacentral:rRNA from 1 species